UGGGAGAGAGGUCUGGAGGAAGGUGUGGCUGGAACUGCGGCCACAUAUUGCCACCAUGAAGGCACAGUCAAUAAGAAAAUCACGUCAACAGAAAGGAGCACAGCUGAAGCAGUAAAAGGGAGAAAGUGGGCCUGGGGGACACUGUCUGAAUCCCUGGAUGAAGGGAAUAGCGGCCAGCCCACCAUCUGGGCCCCAAACUCGAGUGCUCACCCUGCAACCCUGGUUGGGAUGUCUGUGCUCCGGGCUGCAGACCACAGUGGACCUCUGCACAGACCUGCCCCCACCACCAGCUGGGUGCCUGCUGCUCUGUAGCCCCUGAGAUUCACAGCCUUCCUUCCUCCCCUCCAGCUUUGCAAGAGCACAUUGAACACCACCUCUGUCAUGUCCCAAGCCAGGCACCAAGGUCACAGCAUAUUCCACUCCUCCCACCCUUCAAAGUGCUCACAGGUUGCUGGAAGAGAAACAAGUAAACAGAUCUUCAGGACACAGGGGACAGCGCACAAUGACAGAGGUAAAUCCAGGGAAUGGGCAACCA
rnacentral:lncRNA from 1 species